rnacentral:lncRNA from 1 species
UGGUUUCUUUUGGCUGGGCUGAAGUUUUUCAUUUAAUGCUUUCCUCAGAGAACCAGUAGCUACAAUUUUUCGUGCUAGCAUUUUCUGGCCCCGGAAUCUAGGUUUUGGGGUUUCGACUGGCGGUGUGGAAGAUGAGGUGUUGGGUGAAAUAGGUGGUGGAGUGCCAGGGUUGUCUUGGGGAUUUGUCAUGGUGAAAAUUUUCUAAAAACACUAAGGAGAUUUUGAUUUUGUGAAGAACUUUGGAGUGUUUCAGAAACAAGAGAG